ACUUACAAUGACGUAUUGUCUCAAAUUGAUGUGUUAAAUCAUGAUGGCAUUGAUACAAACAUGUGAUCAAAAGAAGUUACAUGAAGCUAGAUUUCAUCAAAGACAAUUUAAGAAAUACUAAUCAAGUAAUGACUCCCAGAUGAAUUGAUCAAGUUACUUGGGUUGGAAUUACAAAAGCGAGCUGAGUUGUCAAUAUAAAUACUCGAAUCACUAAAUUAAAUACUCCUCCAGAACUACAAUAAACCACGAAUCAGAACAUGUGUAUGUCGAAAAAAAUAAAAUUCUUCUUGCUUCGAAUUAACUCAUCAAAAGCAGGGACUAUCAGUGAUUACAAAUACAAUAGUUGCUAGUGUAGAAACUUUAUAUGCUAUGGACCUCCAAAUCCAUCCACUAUAGCUUGCAGGCUUCCCAGAGACUUCAAUCAAUAAGUUACUUGGUCAGACCUUUUAGGCCAUGACUAGCUAGCUAGAUAACAACAAAACAGUCACAGAUUAAAUGACAAUUGAUUUUUAACAAUUUGAGCAACUAAUUAUUUAACUGACUAGGCCGUGAAUUAAUAAAAGCCAUCAUCAAGACAAACAGGCAGCUUUAACUUAAGCCUUCAAGGUAAAACAAGCAAUCCAAAAGAAAACAAGCAUAGGCAAAUCUGGGAGUCAAGUACAGCCAAAUACACAAACUUAAACAUGAGUUAACCAAACAGAAACAAACUUUCAUUUAUAUGCUCAACAAGAUACUGUUAAAGGAAAAUCAUUACAUACCUAAAGUAGGAAGGUAAAGGGAUAGAAUCUGACAAUCAAUUGUCAAGCAAAUAGAAAUGGAGUUAAGCUCACAGUAGGAAGGAACAACAGCAACACAACAGAAUAGUGAUCAACUAAGGACUCAGAUCUCCUAGAAGUGAGAUUCAGCUAAUAACUAUAAGCAGAAAAUUAGCAAGCAGAGAAUUCUCAAUUCAGAGAGUUUUCUUUUCGUGUGUAUCCCCGUCUGUCCCCCAGAAUGCAGAAUGAAUCCCUCUUAUAUAAACUAUGUGUGUGCUAUAAGAGAGAAUG
rnacentral:lncRNA from 1 species